rnacentral:rRNA from 1 species
CGUAGAUGAACCCGGUGAAUGGUAGAACCGGGGUAAGCGUGUAGGAGGAGGACCAGGCAAAUCCGGGCCUCACAUACUCUGAGACGUGAUACCGAGCCGCUUCAGGCGAAGUCAUUAAUCCUAUGCUGCCUAGAAAAGCCCAGUAGCGAGUUGACAUGGUGCCCGUACCCCAAACCAACACAGGUGGACAGGUAGAGCAUACCAAGGCGAGUGGGAUAACUAUGGUUAAGGAACUCGGCAAAUUUCCUCCGUAACUUCGGGAUAAGGAGGACCCCAGUAGCGUGACGAGACUUGCUCUCCGAGCGUGAAGGGGUGGCACAAAAUUGAGGGAAGCGACUGUUUACCAAAAACACAGCAGCGUGCUAAGCCGUAAGGCGCUGUAUACGCUGUGACUCCUGCCCGGUGCUGGAAGGUUACGGGGAUGGGUUAGUCCUUCGGGACGAAGCUCUGAACCUAAGCCCCAGUAAACGGCGGCCGUAACUAUAACGGUCCUAAGGUAGCGAAAUUCCUUGUCGGGUAAGUUCCGACCUGCACGAAUGGAGUAACGACUUCCCUACUGUCUCAACCAUAGACCCAGCGAAAUUGAAGUACGAGUAAAGAUGCUCGUUAGCUGCAGAAGGACGGAAAGACCCCGUGGACCUUUACUAUAACUUGAUGUUGUGUUUUGUCAUAUGUUGUGUAGGAUAGGCGGGAGACAAGGAAGCAUGGACGCUAGUCUGUGUGGAGUCAUCGUUGAAAUACCACCCUGCAUAUGGUGAGGCUCUAACCUAGACCCGUUAUCCGGGUUGGGGACAGCGUCAGGCGGGUAGUUUAACUGGGGCGGUUGCCUCCUAAAGAGUAACGGAGGCGCCCAAAGGUUCCCUCAGCCUGGUUGGCAAUCAGGCGUCGAGUGCAAUGGCAAAAGGGAGCUUGACUGCGAGACCUACAAGUCGAGCAGGAGCGAAAGCUGGGCAUAGUGAUCCGGCGGUUGCGUGUGGAAGCGCCGUCGCUCAACGGAUAAAAGGUACCCCGGGGAUAACAGGCUAAUCUUGCCCAAGCGUCCAUAGCGACGGCAAGGUUUGGCACCUCGAUGUCGGCUCAUCGCAUCCUGGGGCUGAAGCAGGUCCCAAGGGUUGGGCUGUUCGCCCAUUAAAGCGGUACGCGAGCUGGGUUCAGAACGUCGUGAGACAGUUCGGUCCCUAUCCUCUGUAGCCGUAGGUGAAUUGAGGAAAGCUGUCCCUAGUACGU